UACGUAGGUGGCAAGCGUUGUCCGGAUUUACUGGGCGUAAAGCGUGUGUAGGCGGACUUUUAAGUAAGAAGUGAAAGGUUGGUGCUCAACACUAACACUGCUCCUUAUACUGGAAGUCUUGAGGGCCGGAGAGGAAAGCGGAACGAGUCGUGUAGCGGUGAAAUGCGUUGAUAUGACUCGGAACACCAAUUGCGAAGGCAGCUUUCUGGACGGUAAGUAAUUUUAAAUCUGACGCUGAGACACGAAAAGCCGAGGGAGCGAACAGG
rnacentral:rRNA from 1 species